rnacentral:snRNA from 1 species
GUGCUUGAUUUGGGAGCACAUAUACUAAAACUGCAACAAUCCAGAGAAAAUGAGCAUAGACUGUGUAAGGAUGACAUGACAUCUAUAAAGUAUUCUCCAUGUUUU